GCCGCCUUGGCGUAGUGGUAGCGCGUCGCACUUGUAAUGCGAAGGUCAUUCGUUCAAAUCGGGUAGGUGGCA
rnacentral:tRNA from 1 species